CAUGAAGGGCAAAAGGUCAGCUUUUUUGCCAACUCGGUCAGGUUCGGAAGAAAGCAGCCGUAACAUAAAACUGAGGUUUUUGUCCCUUCGCCUUU
rnacentral:SRP_RNA from 1 species